rnacentral:rRNA from 1 species
UACAGAGGGGGCAAGCGUUGUUCGGAAUUACUGGGCGUAAAGGGCGCGUAGGCGGCCUGUUAAGUCGGACGUGAAAUCCCUCGGCUUAACCGGGGAACUGCGUCUGAUACUGGAUGGCUUGAGUUUGGGAGAGGGAUGCGGAAUUCCAGGUGUAGCGGUGAAAUGCGUAGAUAUCUGGAGGAACACCGGUGGCGAAGGCGGCAUCCUGGACCAACACUGACGCUGAGGAGCGAAAGCGUGGGGAGCGAACAGG